rnacentral:rRNA from 1 species
AUUGAACGCUGGCGGCAGGCCUAACACAUGCAAGUCGAACGAGUGGCGGACGGGUGAGUAAUGUCUGGGAAAAUGCCUGAUGGAGGGGGAUAAGUACUGGAAACGGUAGCUAAUACCGCAUACCAUCAGAUGUGCCCAGAUGGGAGUAGCUUGUUGGUGAGGUAACGGCACACCAAGGCGACGAUCCCUAGCUGGUCUGAGAGGAUGACCAGCCACACUGGAGCUUAGACACGGUCCAGACUCCUACGGGAGGCAGCAGUGGGGAAUAUUGCACAAUGGCCGCAAGCCUGAUGCAGCCAUGCCGCGUGUAUGAAGAAGGCCUUCGGGUUGUAAAGUACUUUCAGCGGGGAGGCGUUACCCGCACAAGAAGCACCGGCUAACUCCGUGCCAGCAGCCGCGGUAAUUC